UACGGGGGGGGCAAGCGUUGUUCGGAAUUACUGGGCGUAAAGGGUUCGUAGGUGGCUCGCUAAGUCAGACGUGAAAUCCCUCAGCUUAACUGGGGAACUGCGUCUGAGACUGGCAAGCUCGAGUGCAGGAGAGGGAUGUGGAAUUCCAGGUGUAGCGGUGAAAUGCGUAGAUAUCUGGAGGAACACCGGUGGCGAAGGCGGCAUCCUGGACCGGUAUUGACGCUGAGGCGCGAAAGCUAGGGGAGCGAAAGGG
rnacentral:rRNA from 1 species